CAUCUUGGAUCUUCUCAGCGCUUCUCUGGGCACUUAAGCAUAGGUGGUGAGGCAGCUAUAGAGAGAUAUUUCAGCAUUGUGCCCCUGCAGGUCAACACUGAAGUCCUGACAUUGCCCUGGAGUAGAACUUUGCUCCCGACAUUUCCCUGGAGAGAGUCAGCCAGGCCCAGAGAGAAGAGCUUUACCACAACUCCUAGGGGAGCAGCAGCCAAUAUGCCAUGCUCCUGAUACAGAUGAUCCCCUGCACCAUGCUCAAGGACCCUGGGCAAGGUUCCCCAGA